rnacentral:sRNA from 1 species
ACUCUAUUGAAGAUACGCAUGAUAGCGUAGUGCUGAUAGCGUAAACGCCACACGGAAAAGCGGGUUUGCGCGAAAAGUAAAAUACGAAUCUAUCCAUGCAAGCAUUUGCCGCCAGUCACUGGCGGUUUUUUUUGCCUGCCUUAAUGCGCCAGCGUGUUCGGCGUCGGUCGUUGCAUGCGAAAUAAAGAGAUGGAUUGCACCAGCAGCGCAAGCA